UUUGUAGCUCUGCAAGUGGAGAAUCCAAGAAGGGAUGCAGUAGUUUCUGAUCAUCUAUAAUUUUCUCUCAUCAGUGUUAGCUUGAAAAUGCAAAAGUAGAGAAAAGAGACAGACCUCGGCUGAAAAAUAGAAAGAAGAUUGAAACUUCAACAGAGCAGAGCUCCCUCUAUAGGUGUCUGUUUGAUGCACCAUCAGUGAGGAAUCAAAGAGAUGUGUUGACUCCGACAAAACCCAU
rnacentral:lncRNA from 1 species